rnacentral:rRNA from 1 species
UACGAGAGGUGCAAGCGUUAUUCGGAAUUACUGGGCGUAAAGGGUGCGUAGACGGUUCAUUAAGUCUUUUGUUUAAGACCCCGGCCUAACUGGGGACCAGCAGAAGAUACUGAUAGACUAGAGGAUGGAAGAGAGAAGCGGAAUUCUCGGAGUAGCGGUUAAAUGCGUAGAUCUCGAGAGGAACACCGAUGGCGAAAGCAGCUUCUUGGUCCAUAUCUGACGUUGAGGCACGAAAGCGUGGGGAGCAAACAGGAUUAGAUACCCUGGUAGUCCACGCUGUAAACGAUGAUCACUAGACGUCGGUUUUGCGUUGCAAAAUCGGUGUCGUAGCUAACGCGAUAAGUGAUCCGCCUGGGGAGUACGGUCGCAAGACUA